UUUUACUCCGAUACAUUUUCUCGAAACAUAUUCGUUACUUACUACAAAAAAGAAAACGGACGACAGGAAAGCAGGUUUGACGAAUCAGUGGUCUGGCGUCUGCAAGCAAACCCUAAAAAAACCUUUGCUCACGUGGAAACAAGUGCGCGUCGCGCACAACCGCGGAUGAUUAUUUUCCCACUCAAGUCGAGUCAGGUGUGUGCGAUUGAUACAGCAUCAUCUGAGAUAAUAUGAUAAAUCUAUGGAAACAAAUGAUGCAGUUAACCAUACUGUAAUCACUGCAAACAAAGGCCAAACUAUGUAAAAAAGCCAUGGGCAAAGCAAGAAGUGGAAGCAGUUUUCAGGCACUUUAAAACUCAUAUAAUCAGGGGCAUCUUGCCUCUCUAAAGGAGUGCCAUUCUUGCAAAAAUGUGGUGAAAAAAAUUCUGCAUGGACGAAUGAUCAAAAUCAAAAUAUCAGGGACUUUGUCUGAAACAAAGGAGUGUGUUUAAAGCAAAAAAAUGCAUUGCAAGACUUCUGAUCUAUUCAGAAAAACUUUGAAAGGAAAAAGAACUGACAGGGAAUAUUGCUAAUUAGAAUGAAUUGAUUUGAAUUUAAAGUUUUUUUUUUUUUUAUAUAAUUUUAUACAAAAUGUCUGUGAUAUAGAGACACUACACCCAGUGUAGAUGGAGGACCAAAUCUGCAGAAAUUAUGAAUAAAUAAACAAUAAACAAAUAAAUGUAAUAGGAAAUUAAAGGAAUAAAUGACUUGACAAAACAGAACUCGUUUUCAAUGAUAAUUUAAUCCUGAAUUUAUUUUUGUAUUAACUUUUUUCCUUCCUUUAUUAUUAGGUUUUACGUAGCUACAUAUUCCUUUUAGAUAGUCAUUGCAUAGCUACAGUGUAUCAUUGGUUAAUAGGUCACACAUAGAAGCAUCAAUUGUCAGAUCUAACUAAGGAAUAGAGAUCAGAGUUUUCUAUGAGAUGUCAAGUCAACUGGAGAGUUCCAAGUUAUUUCAAGGUUGAUGACACCUAGAAACCCUGAAUCCCUGUGUUUAUUUUAUAAUCACAGAGAAAAGCUUAACGCCCAAAAGCGUAAAAGCCAUUGUAACAACCUACUGUUCACUAGGUGGCAUCAACCUAGAAUCUGAUGAUGUUGAUGGUUCUGGCCUUGAUUACUUUGCCGUGAGUAAGGAUCACAUAGUAGGGCUGUGCGAUAUGGACAAAAAAAAACCUAUCGCGAUUUUUUGAUAAAUUGUGUGAUUUCGAUUUUAAUCACGAUUUUGACACACACAGACAUGCUUUACAGUCAU